rnacentral:rRNA from 1 species
GAUGAACGUUGGCGGCGUGCCUAACACAUGCAAGUCGAACGGAAAUAGCAAUAUUUGAGUGGCGCACGGGUGAGUAACACGUAGCUAAUCUACCUCAAAGCGCGGGAUAACGUGUCGAAAGACAGGCUAAUACCGCAUAAGCUCCCGAUCUGUAGAGGGUUGGGAGAAAAGGCGCAAGUCACUUUGAGAUGAGGCUGCGGCCCAUCAGCUAGUUGGUGCGGUAAUGGCGUACCAAGGCGACGACGGGUAGGGGACCUGAGAGGGUGACCCCCCACACUGGGACUGAGACACGGCCCAGACUCCUACGGGAGGCAGCAGUGAGGAAUAUUGCACAAUGGGCGAAAGCCUGAUGCAGCGACGCCGCGUGGGUGAAGAAGGUUUUCGGAUCGUAAAACCCUUUUCUGUGUGACGAGCAAGGACGGUAGCACAGGAAUAAGUCUCGGCUAACUACGUG